rnacentral:rRNA from 1 species
GACGAACGCUGGCGGCGUGCUUAACACAUGCAAGUCGAACGGAAAGGCCCUGCUUUUGUGGGGUGCUCGAGUGCCGAACGGGUGAGUAACACGUGAGUAACCUGCCCUUGACUUUGGGAUAACUUCAGGAAACUGGGGCUAAUACCGGAUAGGAGCUCCUGCUGCAUGGUGGGGGUUGGAAAGUUUCGGCGGUUGGGGAUGGACUCGCGGCUUAUCAGCUUGUUGGUGGGGUAGUGGCUUACCAAGGCUUUGCCGGGUAGCCGGCCUGAGAGGGUGACCGGCCACAUUGGGACUGAGAUACGGCCCAGACUCCUACGGGAGGCAGCAGUGGGGAAUAUUGCACAAUGGGCGGAAGCCUGAUGCAGCAACGCCGCGUGCGGGAUGACGGCCUUCGGGUUGUAAACCGCUUUCGCCUGUGACGAAGCGUGAGUGACGGUAAUGGGUAAAGAAGCACCGGCUAACUACGUG